GAAGCUAUCUUCACAUCCUCUGGAUAAAAAAGAUUCUCUCUCCACACCAUGAAGCUGCUGCUGAAGGAGGGAAGAGGGCUAGUGUUGGCAAUCCAAGACAGUCUUUUCUACACUCUUCAGUGUCUCGUUAAACUACAUGAAGCUAAAACCAGGCAUCACAACAGGGUGGAAUUGGAGUUGCUCUAUGAAAAAAAGCUGAAGUAUGCAUAGCCUGCCUGAUCACUGGUGUAGAGUCAAAGAAAUAAAGUUUGAACUUGAACAGCAAUGCUUCCUUGGAAUAUUCUCUCCAUGAGGCUUUGGAUGGUAUACUCAUUUGGACAGAAGGUUUCAAAAGAAAGAAGAAGAGAGAGAGGAGAAAAGAAGAAAAGAAAAGAAAAGAAAAGAAAGAAAAGAAAAGAGAAAUGAAAAAAAAAAUAGGAAAACAGGUGAAGACAAUGAACAAAUGGCUCCACUUUUGUAACCAACAGAGAUUCCAGCAUGAUCACAAACAAAACAUCUGACAACUCAAAAAAGUAUCUCCAUGUGUUUCCACACAUGGACCAAUUUGGACUGGAAUGAAAAGUGUGAGCUACCACAAACAGUUCCUCUUCAGGUCAUAUAUGGUGGUCACCCCAACACUAUGCUCUUCUGUAAAACAUUUUACACUUACAGCCUUGUCCAGUUUCUCUCUCCAACAACUUGACUUCCUGUGCUAUAGAUAAGUAUCAAUGCCUCCUCUUUUUUAAAUCACUGUGGC
rnacentral:lncRNA from 1 species